rnacentral:lncRNA from 1 species
CAAGUGGGAAUUUCAGGAGAGCCAGGACUCGGCCGCUUGUGUGGACUGCUGGGGCAGCCUGAAUAACUCCCAAUGACGAGCAUCCUUUAUGACUUAAGUCACUACGGACACCCCGAAAGCACAGUGCAGCCCGAGCUCCAUUAGCAUCACUGACACGCACACAAUACUUUUGGCACUGAUGGGUCCACAGCAUUUAGCAGUUUACUUUCUUGCUUUUUCUAGCCAUCAAGCCCAGAGUCACAUCCAUCCUGACAGCUUGCCUGUGAACUGAGACUCAAUGUAUCGCCCUAUCAGAAGCACGAUUCCAAAAGCAGGGCUUGGGAUAAGAGCAAGCCCCGAUGUUCUCUGUUUAGCACGCUGACGCAUCACGCCAGACAUCCUGAGUCCGGUGAGACCAUGUGUGACACGUAGCCCUCUGCGCAGGGUGCCUUGGGUCAUGAUGCUCCCAACGCCAAGGCCAGUACCACAGCCACAAUACUACAUUGGCUUUAAUCAGCAGUGUAGGCCCUCAACUUCUUCCAACUCUUUGAUUUUCUUGAGAAUAUUUUGCAGACAAAAUAAGCCAAGACAAGGAAGGAUGGACGUGGGGCGUCCUUGGAAGCCAGUUGGUUUACCCAAUGAUGGUUUUGUGAAGUGAACAGAAGAGGAAAUCAGAAGAUUCAAGUUUGAAUUAAUCCAUGUGCCUUCUUUGUCCUUAGGCAAUUAUAUUACUUUCCUUCUCUGGGCUUUAGUUUAUUAUCUCUAAAAUGACUGGGUCAGACUAAUUGAUCUCUAAGAACUUUCCUAAUUCUGAAUCCAAUGAUCUUAGUGUGAUAGGGGCAAUCCUGUGAAACAUGUGCUCGUGAGAAUGCUUACACACAUUGUCCUCAUACUGAGGGAGGAGGAUUUUGUGAUCAUAAAAUGAUUCCUCAUUGCCCCCCCCCCAUUUACCCAUCCUUUGUGGUUUUUCCUAAGGGGACCAGUCACUGAACAUCAUGGGGGCAGACUUUUGUUGAGUGACAUCCACAUUUGAUAUGUCUAGAUAGACUUCUCUCCUUUCUUAGGAAGACACAGUGCCACCAGGAGGGGAAAGGAAGGGAGGGAGAUACGUCCGAUCAUAUAACUUAGAAAAAUUUGUGUGGAAAUUUGUGAUUUCAAGUAAUUGAGAAGAAAAAUUUAAAAAAUUAAUUCUGAAAAAAUAAACAAAUGGUUGUUUGUUUUAAUCUGGUGACU